UUGAGGGAGGCCACUUCUUGCUCUGAACUUCACGGGUCCAGCGAUGGCACGCAUGGUAGUGUCCUGGUGAAGGUCAAGCGAGGUGGCCCCAGCCAUGCACUAACCGGGCACGGCCCUGAGGACUUCACUGUGGGGCACCAUCACCAACCCAUCUGCCCAAUGAGAAACCAAGUCCCAGAGAGCUUGAGAAACUUGCCCAAGGUCACAGGGACACGCGCAGGUAAGCUCAAGGAUCCAGAUGUGCAGGUAAGUUCAAGGCCCUCCGUCGACGUUAUGAUGACGAUUUUAAGUUUUAUGGCAUGUUCGCCACUGAAGCAGGUGCUGGGAGGGAGAGAAAACGUCUCUCUGUUCCCAUCCGAGGACCUGCCCACGCUCAGCCGGAGCUGGAAAAGUGAGGCCAGGCCCCACCGGCCAGUUCCCAGACCAGGCCAAAGAACGCAGCUCCUACUAGGAAGGGUCAGAUUUGGCAAGCUGGGGUGGAGGGGCACAGACAGGGGGUCCCCAGCCUGGCCCACCACAGUGACUGGCUUCUCCAUGUCACAUGUCACAGAGGAGCCGGAAGGUGGGUGGCAGUGGGCCUUCAAAGCCAAGGGGGGGUGCUCCUGGCUGCCAAGCUCAGAAACAGUGCCCGUCCCUCAUCACCAGGCUCUCAAGCCUCUACUUGCCCCUCUGUACAAUGGGGCUAGGCGGGACCACCCAGGUAUUUGGAGACUCGGCCAGUGCCCCUAACGCCCCCGAGCCAUCCAGGACUCUCCUUCCCUCCUGAUGCAUUUCUUCCUCACAAAGAAGAAAAGAAGGCCACAGCACACAAGAACAAGAGGGCGGUGUGCAAGGAAGAGAUGCACAGCUAGAAGCAUCUAGAAGGGACUUCUCCAGCCCUGAGGCCGGUGGGGACAAGACUGUCGGCGCUCAGGGUGAGACCCACCUAUGCUGGGGAAGGCGCGCUUCCCCCCUCCCUCUGUCCCCCCUCUGCAGGGGUGCAGGGGCUGAUGCCUGCUUGGAAAUUCCAUCAUAGGCCCUACAGUCUCCUGCUGAAAAGCCCUGAGGCCCUCCGGGUUCACGGGCACUGUCGGCCCGGGGCACUGAGUCACGGAGCACCUCUGUCAGUCGUUCAUGACUAAGGAAGCCGGGUGCACGUAGGCAGCAGGCCAACGUAAGGAGAGGCCAUGGGGACGAUCACCCACGCGUCCUGAAGGAAGGCCCCAGGGCCAAGGGAGCCCCGGGUGGCGUGAAAAGCCUUCAAUUAUUGCUGAUGACAACCUCCUGGCCAGCUUUAUGGGGCAGUUAAUGGGGAGUCCGAUCCAGACAGUGAAGAGGUUCCUUGCGGGAUGAAAGAGAGAAAUCUAGGUGCUGUACGAGCCGCAUGAAACUUGCCCAUAACCUGCUCUGCCCUGGCCUCAGAUGAAGUGGAAGCCUCGUGGACCCGCCUCUGGUCACCUUGCAAGGCUGCUCCCCUCAGGGAAUCAGGACUGCGAACACCAGCGCCAGGAUACAGCCAGGGGUUCCCAGCACCCCGCCCCCACCCCUCAGAAAAGCAUCCCAGAACUCCCCAGGACUUGGACGAGAGCUCCACAAAGCCCGGGGCUUCAGCUGUCUCCUUCCUGCUACAUCCCCAGGGCCCCUCAAGCGACCGGCCGUCAGCGGGCGCCAAUAAAUGCGUUAUGUCCAUGUCUCUUAAACAGGCAUGCUCUUUGGAAGGCGUCCAGAUUUUGGAAAUUAUUCUCAUCUGAGGGGAAAGAAAUACAUCUCAGAAGCAAGAAAGUACCAUGUCUGAAGGAUAUGCCUCUGGUACACUUGCAUCCCACAAGGCCAUUCCCGUGCUAUCCACGGUUUGUGGGCACACUGUGCCCGGUGCCAGGCCUGGCUCUAUGCUGUGACCCCACUUUCUGGGCCAUUCCCUCGGCAGAGGCUGAAUAUGGAGCAGGAAGCAGGGACUCCCCCGCCAGCCGCCUGGGGCCCACGUCCAGCUGCAC